UUGUUGGUAAGGUAAAAGCUUACCAAGGCUUCGAUCAGUAGCUGGUCUGAGAGGACGACCAGCCACACUGGGACUGAGACACGGCCCAGACUCCUACGGGAGGCAGCAGUGGGGAAUUUUGGACAAUGGGGGCAACCCUGAUCCAGCCAUGCCGCGUGAGUGAAGAAGGCCUUCGGGUUGUAAAGCUCUUUCAGCCGGAACGAAACGGUUACGGUUAACACCCGUGACUACUGACGGUACCGGAAGAAGAAGCACCGGCUAACUACGUGCCAGCAGCCGCGGUAAUACGUAGGGUGCGAGCGUUAAUCGGAAUUACUGGGCGUAAAGCGUGCGCAGGUGGUUUUGUAAGUCAGGUGUGAAAGCCCCGGGCUCAACCUGGGAACUGCGUUUGAAACUACAAGACUAGAGUGUGGCAGARGGGGGGUGGAAUUCCGCGUGUAGCAGUGAAAUGCGUAGAGAUGUGGAGGAACACCGAUGGCGAAGGCAGCCCCCUGGGUCAACACUGACGCUCAGGCACGAAAGCAUGGGGAGCAAACAGGAUUAGAUACCCUGGUAGUCCAUGCCCUAAACGAUGUCAACUAGUUGUCGGGCCUUUACGGGCUUGGUAACGUAGCUAACGCGUGAAGUUGACCGCCUGGGGAGUACGAUCGCAAGAUUAAAACUCAAAUGAAUUGACGGGGACCCGCACAAGCGGUGGAUUAUGUGGAUUAAUUCGAUGCAACGCGAAAAACCUUACCUACCCUUGACAUGUAUCGAAGCCCGCAGAAAAGCGGGGGUGCCCGAAAGGGAACGAUAACACAGGUGCUGCAUGGCUGUCGUCAGCUCGUGUCGUGAGAUGUUGGGUUAAGUCCCGCAACGAGCGCAACCCUUGUCAUUAAUUGCCAUCAUUUAGUUGGGCACUUUAAUGAGACUGCCGG
rnacentral:rRNA from 1 species